AUUUAUCUCUGAGCUGGAAAGAGUUGCUCAUUCAGUUCACUAUCCAGUCGUAGCAGAGCCAACAUCUGAGAAAGAUAUAUGCAAGGUCAGGCAGAUAGCUAACCUGCCUUUCAGAAAGUUCUUCCUCCUCCUGGCUGUUUCAUUAGUUUGUGAGCUAAGUCUUUUUCCUUUUAGCAUGCUGGGUUUCUUUGUCACGUACCCAUAAACUAGUCCACCAUAAAACACCUUCCAUGGAGGAGAUUGAGAAGGGACCUCAUCAAUAUCCAUAAGUAUCUGAAGGGAAGAUAUCAAGAGGAUGGAACCAGGCUUUUCUUGAUGGUGCCAAGCAACAGGACAAGAGACCGUGGGACAGAGCCAGGAGUGAUGCUGAAAUGAUGAAAGGUGGAAGUUUUUCAUACAUGGAUGAGGAGAAGUGCACUAGGAAAAAAAUCUUCUUCCAGAAGUUUUGAAGAUAAGAGUCUUUCAAGAUGUGGCCAUGGGAAAAGUCGAGGCAGUCCAAGAGAAUGUGCAUUUGUGGGUGUCACUAACUGGAAGAACCUCCAGCCUUGUAAGGAAAUCUGGGAUGGAGGUCACUGCAGGUGCUGUGAGCAGCUCUUGCCAGUGCAUGGGGCAGCUUGCCAACACCAGCAAGCUUGGACCUCCGCCCCAGGAGCCCAGGAGCACCUUCUGGCUGAGAGCCCUGCCCAGGCAUCUGUGGGGUGGGGAUGGGAGUUGAGGAGUGUCUCCCAGAGCACAUCUGCACAGGGCUGCCAGCAGUGGCAGCCUGGAGGAAAAUGUCACUCAGCGUGUUGGAGAUGUGCCCUUGCCUCAUGAAGGAGCUUUCAUCUCGGGGGCUUCACAAAGCAUGUGGUGCAAGGCCUGCAUCCCAGCUGCUGCCAGUGUUCACCUUCCCUCCCUGUGUUCCUAGUGCAGCCUUUCAGAGCAUUAAACUGCUAUUUCUAAGGCUUGAUUCCAUCAGGAAUUGCCCUGGUGUUUCCCUGCUCCUCAGUCCCCUCAGCUUGGCUGCACUCUCAGCCUGUAACUUUUGUCCUCAGCCCUCCAGAUUCUUCCCCUGGCUCUCCUCUACUGCUCUCACCCAUGGAAGAACAAAACAUUUUUUCCUUAAAUGUAAUUGGGGAAAAUUCUCCUAAUAAGUCAUGGUGAAUACAUUCUUUCCCAUAUAAACAUUUUGUCCUGUGCUUCACUUACCUUUGACUAGAUCAUGGCAAUUCCAAGAGUCUGCAAGCUCCCACAGAGGAGCAGAUGUAGCCACUGGGCACUUUGUAGUCAACAAAUGGUGGCAAAAAGCAGAAAUGUGGUGACCUUGGGAGGACUGCAGUUAUUUACACAGCAUGGAGCCUAAUAAGGCUGGACCUAAUAAAUUAUGUCAUCCCAAAAUAUUACAUGCUGAGACAUCACCAAAAUCUCUGCCUCUGUGAUGUGCCUUGACUGCAAACCAGAUAAUCUGUCUGCUGACACCAGAGAAGAGUUUUUAAUUCUUUCUCUCAGCAGCAUCUAGGACACUUUUGAUGCUGUUGUAACACAAGGUUUAAGUUAGAUCUCACCCUAUGUUAUCAUAACAUGUUAGACCCAGGCUGUUUUCUGUAUUUCUUUACCAGUUUAGGUGAAGGAAACUUUGUUAAGAAACUGCUACUCUUAUUUCUGUAUAUUUAUCAUGCUAUCAUCAGGAUUUACCACUAUCAGUUCUAGGACAAAAGGCUGAAAUUCCCAUGAUUUUAUCCAUGGAGCAAAAGGCCCAGAUUUAAUAGAGGUCUCCAGGGAGUGAUUGUUCUCCUACCUAAGAAAGGAAGAGUACACUUUAGUAAGAAGGAAUGCAAUAAUUAGCUCCCAGGUCUAGUUUAUUUAAGAACAAGAUGGGGGGUUUAUGGACUGUUUAUGUGGUCAUAGCUUUCCUGAGGCAAUAUUUAAGUGCAGUGAAUAACAGAGGUAAUUACAGAGGUAAUUCAUAUACCAUUUUAAAACAGCUAAUGAUAUUUCUGUGAAAUAAAGAAUUCUUCCUCUUUUAAUGCAAUGAAAAUUGUUAAGUGUCAUGCAGAAUUCAUAUUAAUAAAUUUUCCUUGGGAAUAGAAUUGCAAGAUUUACCACCUGUUCCACAUUCAGUCAAAAUAUCUCUGUUUGUAUCCCUCUCUGUAUCAGCAGGCUCUUUCCUUUCCAGCUUCCAUCAAUAUAUUUUCUGGAUACACUUGGUGUGUUUCUUAUGCUUGUGAGUCUCUGCAGCCCCCUGAACCAGCACAGGAAUCUUAAUGGUUCAUCUGUGUCCACUUCUUCACGUGGCUCCUCUGGGGAUUCAGUGUAACCUCCUGACUUGUGAUAAACACACAUGAAAGACAGGCUUUGCACAAGGCUUAAAAAUGCUAUUGAAUGUGUUAUAAAAUCACUGCUAAUAAAGAAAUAAGUACAUUCAAGUUGAAACAUGUAA